rnacentral:RNase_P_RNA from 1 species
AACGGUGAGGUAAGAGCUCACCAGCAUAUCAGGAGACUGGUAUGGCUAGGUAAACCCCAUUGGAAGCAAAGCCGAGCAGGAAAGAUGAUGGUUCGCCAUCGGGGAGUCGCUCGCUCUCCUUGAUUUCCGGGUAGGCUGCUUGAGAUGGCAAGCAAUUGUCGUCCUAGAUGAAUGGCCAUCGUCACUUCGGUGAUUACAGAACCCGGCUUAUGGUCCACCUCAGUCC